GCUGGCCAGAAAGGGGGUCUCUUCCGGGAGUCGAGCCCGAGUGAAAUUUAAAAGGCCGUAUAAGUAUCGUGCAAUGCUCCCCUGUAUUUUUCUUCAAAAAUAACUGAAGCUAUUGUAUAACCUCUUCCCUUCUCCCCUGCUCUGUUGGGAAAGGGUUUUUCUACUUCGCUCCUACCCACCUAUACAUUCACCUUGUAGUUAGUGCAAUACCCUUUCGUCCUCUGCCGGCCAUUGCCUUUUGCUCCUUCAGAGGGCCGGGGAAUCGGUGGGUGUCUGCCUAUUAUUUAGAAAACUGCCGGAUAGGGGCAUUCAGCAGAUGAUUGACUCCAAUGACAACAAGACCUGCAUCUAAAAUAAUAUUGGCCUUCUUCACUGGCAGAAAACAUCUUGCACUUUCAGUCUCUGGAGAGAAGCAGACUCAGUUCUCUUUUAACUACUUCUGCAGAAGACUCUCACUGGAGGGCCCAGUUUGGUCAAGGACUAGAUGUCACUUCUGCCUGGAAUGGAGUCUCUGGAUGGCACAAGGUACUCGGGUGAUGACCGAAGAAUUGGAGGUGUGAGUCCAUCCAGAGGCACUUCAGAAGAAAGGGCUCACAAUCCAUUUCUGAAAAAUCAGCCAUUGGAGCACAGUUCUCCUCUGACACACACAGCUUGUGUUGGAAUAGGCUAGAUGAUAGCUGGUUUGAUCUGGUCUGCCUGAAAUGGACUUUCUACCAGUUCUUUCCACCCCAGCCCCUCCACAUGUUCCCCUUCAGAAAGCCCUUCCCCAACAGCCAUGUUGUCCCCCACCUGCCCUCACCCCCUACUUUCUAACACAGAUUUGGCUUCAUAAAGGAAUGGUAAUGGGGGGUUUUGUUUGUUUACUUCCCGUGUUGGAUAUCGGCUACACCAGGAGCAGGGCCUGGUCUCUGAUGCUUCCGGCACUGAACACAAGGCUCAUCACACAUUAGGUGCCAAGUCAUGACUGGUUUGAUGAAUUCUGCUGAAGACCUCCUGUGUAUGUUCUAUCAUUUUUCACCCAUGCCAUCCUCGGGUCACCACUGUUCUGGGGAUCCAGCACUUUUCUCUGGUGGCAGCAUCUCAGCACCUGAGACAUGCUCACCAAGGACAGUAUGCAUGUGUGCCCUUUCUCCUUCUCUAGUUUCAGCCUGUGCAAACUUCUGAGGUUACCAUUGGUGCCUGCCAUUUCUGCCCAUCAGGCUGCACAGCCAGGCCUCACCCUAGGUAGGGGCUCAGCUCUGGGUAGGUGGAGCCACAGGAUCCCCCUGCGGAACUAUGGGGUGGGACCCAGCUGGGGCCAAGUGUGCCAAGGCCACGUCCCAGUCAAGGUGAUACACCCCUAUCGGCGGGGACGGGGCAUCUUCCACGAAGGGGGUUCACAUCCCAGCAAGGGGGGCCACCAACCAGCAAGAGGAGGCUAUCUUCCAGUAAGGGGGGCCACCUACCAACGGGGGGCUACACGUUCCACCAAGUGCAGA